UACGGAGGGUGCAAGCGUUAAUCGGAAUUACUGGGCGUAAAGGGUGCGCAGGUGGUUUUUUAAGUUAGCUGUAAAAUUCCUGGGCUUAACCUAGGGUGGUCAGCUAAGACUGGAAGACUGGAGUAUGGGAGAGGGUAGUGGAAUUUCCGGUGUAGCGGUGAAAUGCGUAGAGAUCGGAAGGAACACCAGUGGCGAAGGCGGCUACCUGGCCUAAUACUGACACUGAGGCACGAAAGCGUGGGGAGCAAACAGG
rnacentral:rRNA from 1 species